rnacentral:rRNA from 1 species
AGAAAGCACCUUCGGGUGUGAGUAGAGUGGCGCACGGGUGAGUAACGCGUGGGAACCUGCCAAGCAGUGGGGAAUAACCUCGGGAAACUGAGGCUAAUACCGCAUACGCCCCCCUUUGGAGACAUUGGGGGGGAAAGAUUUAUCGCUGUUUGAUGGUCCCGCGUCUGAUUAGCUAGUUGGUGAGGUAAUGGCUCACCAAGGCGACGAUCAGUAGCUGGUCUGAGAGGAUGACCAGCCACACUGGGACUGAGACACGGCCCAGACUCCUACGGGAGGCAGCAGUGGGGAAUAUUGGACAAUGGGCGAAAGCCUGAUCCAGCAAUGCCGCGUGAGUGAAGAAGGCCUUAGGGUUGUAAAACUCUUUCAAUCGUGAAGAUGAUGACGGUAACGAUAGAAGAAGCACCGGCUAACUUCGUGCCAGCAGCCGCGGUAAUACGAAGGGUGCUAGCGUUGUUCGGAAUUACUGGGCGUAAAGAGCACGUAGGCGGAUCGAUCAGUCAGAGGUGAAAGCCCCGAGCUCAACUUGGGAACUGCCUUUGAUACUGUCGAUCUAGAGUCCGAGAGAGGUGAGUGGAAUUCCCAGUGUAGAGGUGAAAUUCGUAGAUAUUGGGAANAACACCAGUGGCGAAGGCGGCUCACUGGCUCGGUACUGAC